UACCCUGGGAAUUGAAACAUCUUAGUACCAGGAGGAAACAAAUCAAGCGAGAUUCCGUAAGUAGCGGCGAGCGAAAGCGGAUAGAGUGUCCGGCCGUAUGAAUUAAAGCCGAAGAGGGUGACAGGCCCGUGUAUUAAUCGGCCGUUUAAGCGGGAGCCAAGAGUAUAAUUAUUUGAAGAGAGGUGACCACACAUCUAAGAGUAAAUAAUAUAACAUACCUAUAGUAAAUUAGUACUGUGAGGGAAAGUUGAAAGAGAUAAUAGUGAAAUAGAACCUGAAAUUUGUUAACCACAAGCAGACGAAAAUCGUCGUACCUUUUGUAUAAUGGGUUCGCAAGAUAAAUAUGUUGGCAAACUUAAGUCAAUAGACGUAGGUGUAGCGAAAGCGAGUUUUCAUAGAGCAUUAGUCAAAUAUAACCCGAAGCCAAGUGAUCUAGCCAUGGGCAGUUUGAAGUAUACCGAGGAGGUAGAUGGAGGAGCGAACCGGUGAUUGUGGCAAAAAUCUCGGAGGACCUGUGGUUAGGGGUGAAAAGCCAAUCGAACUUGUAUAGCUGGUUUUAUGCGAAAACUAUUUUAGUAGUGCGUCUGGGAGAUUCUUACAUGGUAAAGCACUGAAGAGGUUUAGGGGCUUCUGCCUACUAAAUUUAACCAAACUAUGAAUGUGUGAGAAGAAACUAUGAUAGACGGACAGUGGGCAAGAAGGUCAAUUGACAAAAGGGAAACAACCCAGAUCAGAAGUUAAGAUCAUCCAAAUAAUAUAAGUGUAAAAGGGGAUUAGUUGAUAAAGACAAUGAGAAAGUAGGCUUGGGACCAGCCAUCUUUGAAAGAUUACGUAAUAGUUCACUCAAUGAAUUUUUAAACCCCCCAAAUUUAGGUGGCUUAAAUUAUAGCAUAAAGCAUAUCGAAACUCUGAAUAUAGUUGUAGUAGCAGAACGUACUGUAAGUCGUAGGAGAAUUUGGAUAGCGAAAGCCAGUAUCAGUAGUGAUAAUGCGAACAUAAGUAACAAAACAGUGUGCGAAACACUGCUCACGGCCCAAGGUUUCCAAUUAUAGGAUAAUCCGAAUUGGGUUACUCAGCCCCUUAGAGGCUUGAAGCCGAUGGGAUAUUAAAUAAGUGGAAGAAAUUAUUAUAUAAGGCUGUACUAAAACUAACACAAGUGGGCUUAAAGUGAUGGUAGAAUUUAUUUUAAGGAACUCGGCAAAAUGUCCCUGUAAGUUAGCGAGAAGGGGAGCCGGAAGAGGCAGGGGAGUCUGGAGGCUGCUAGGGAAUUCCGGGCUCAGAUAAGAGGGGGUAUCGACUGUUUACCAAAAACAUAGCUUCCAGCAAAGGGCCGAGGGCCUGAAGUAUUGGAGGUGAUGCCUGCCCAAUGAUUGUAUCUAAACCCAAGUAAUAAAUAAGUUAAUUUGGUUAAGGACAAUUAAAUGGCCGCGGUAAAUCUGACCGUGAUAAUGUAGCGCAAUCAAUAGCCAAUUAAUUGUUGGCAAGUAUGAAUGGCUUAACGAAUGCCCCACUGUCUCAAGAUAAAAACCAGUGAAAUUGAAUUCGUAGUGAAGAUGCUACGUACAAGUUGUUAGACGAGAAGACCCUAUUGAGCUUUACUGGAGACUUGUAUUGUUCUUUUUGAAUUAAUUGUAUAAUGUGGAAGCCAGUGCGGCCUAUGAAACCACUCUUUAAUUUUCAAAGGACUAAAAUCGUUUAGUUAGAUUAAAGGUAUAAGUUAGACAGUUUGGUUGGGGCGACCGCCUUCUAAAAAGUAACGAAGGCGUACAUAAGGUAAUAUAUAAUAUAAUAAAGUCAAAGCCUGACAGCAAGGAGGACCUACCGAGCUGACACGGGAUCGUGGGUUAUAAUGACCCGUUGGUUUAGGGUGGGAUAGCUAACGAGCAACGAAUAAAAGUUACCAUAGGGAUAACAGCGUAAUAUUGUUUGAGAGUUCAUAUCGACGACGAUGUUUGCGACCUCGAUGUUGAAUUGCGGUUUCCUGGAGGUGCAGCAGCUUCCAAGGGUUGGACUGUUCGUCCAUUAAAACCGUACAUGAUUUGAGUUCAGACCGGCGUGAGCCAGGUCGGUUUCUAUCUACAAUUUGUCAGAAACAUUAGAUAUACUAUAUUCUAGUACGAAAGGAUCGAAUAAUAGUUAUCCUCUGGUGAACCAAUUGCGACAAUCGUUGUUGGGUAGCUACGAUAAUAAAAAUAAUCACUGAAAGCAUCUCGUGAGAAGUUAAAUAUUAAUCUAUGUUUCUAAGACUGUUUAAGAAUAAGACGUUGAUAGGAUCUGGGUAUACGAGCGUGCGCUUUAAGCCAAAGAUUACUAAUGUUCUAUAUACUAAUU
rnacentral:rRNA from 1 species